GACUUACUGAAAUGAAAGUGAAGUCCUUUGGCGGAGCAGUCGUCGUUGAGAUGGAGCAGUGAAGGGAAAUCCAGGAUGCUGCGGAACGUCAUGGCUAAACCCCGGAGACAAGCUUUGCGGGGAGCUGGUUACCUGUUUCAUGCCCAGUCCUCCUCCUGCCUUUCCAUGACAGAGGAACUUUUCUUAGAUGCUGCAGAAUAUGGCAACAUUCCUGAAGUGAGGCGGAUGCUUGAGGAACAGCCAGAUCUCAAUGUCAACUGUGUAAACUACAUGGGCCAAAAUGCAUUGCAACUGGCAGUUGCCAAUGAACAUUUAGAGGUAGCUAAGCUCCUACUUAGGAAGAAAGACCUCGCUAGAAUUGGCGAUGCUUUGCUGUUAGCCAUCAGUAAAGGCUACGUACGUAUAGUGGAGGCCAUACUGAGCCAUCAGGCCUUUGCAGACAGUCAGAGGCUCACAGACAGUCCAAGCCAGGCGGACACUCAUGAUGACUUCUUUGCCUAUGAUGAGGAUGGCACACGUUUUUCUCACGACAUUACUCCCAUCAUCCUGGCUUCCCAGUGCCAUGAGUAUGAAAUAGUGCAUAUACUUCUUAUGAAGGGGGCCCGCAUAGAGCGGCCCCAUGACUACUUCUGUCAGUGCAAGACCUGCAGCGAGCAGCAGAGGCAUGAUGCUUUCAGCCAUUCCCAAUCCCGGAUCAAUGCUUAUAAAGGUCUGGCUAGUCCGGCAUAUCUGUCCCUCUCCAACGAAGAUCCUGUGAUGGCAGCUCUGGAGCUGAGCAAUGAGCUUGCAGUUCUAGCCAACAUUGAGAAGGAGUUCAAGAAUGAUUACAAGAAAUUGUCCAUGCAGUGUAAAGACUUUGUGGUGGGACUCCUGGAUUUGUGUCGAAACACAGAGGAAGUGGAGGCUAUCUUAAAUGGGGACACUGAAUUGUGUCAAAACUCUGAAACCUGUGGCAGACAAAGCCUCAUCAGGUUAAAACUUGCCAUAAAAUAUGAAGUAAAGAAGUUUGUUGCACAUCCAAACUGCCAACAGCAACUCCUUUCCAUUUGGUACGAGAACUUUUCUGGACUACGCCAGCAAACCACAGCAGUUAAACUCCUGCUUGUCCUUGGGGUAGCUGUUGGGUUGCCUGUCCUGGCCUUUAUGUACUGGAUAGCACCUUCAAGUAAGUUAGGGAAACUCAUGUGUGGACCUUUCCUGAAGUUUGUGGCCCAUGCUGCUUCCUUUAUGAUAUUUCUUUGCCUACUGGUCCUGAACGCAGCAGAUCGUUUUGAGGGAACAUCGCUGCUACCUAACAUGACCACCCACGACCACCCUUUGCAGCUGUUUCGUAUGAAGACCACCCCUUUCACCUGGAUGGAGAUUCUCAUCAUAUCCUGGGUCAUAGGGAAGAUCUGGGAAGAAUGUAAAGAUAUUUGGUCACAGGACAUUCGGGAAUACAUCUCAGAACCUUGGAACCUGCUUGACUUUAGUAUUUUGUCCAUAUUUAUGACCUCUUUCAUUGCCAGAUUAAUGGCUUUCUGGCAUGCAUAUUCUGCCCAGUGUUAUGUUGACAAGCACUAUACAGACCUGUCCAACAAGACCUUACCCUUUGAGAUACAGUAUUUUCAGCUGGCUCGGAUCAGCUGGAUGCCCUCUGACCCGCAGCUUAUUUCUGAAGGCCUCUAUGCAAUUGCAGUUGUGCUGAGUUUCUCUCGCAUUGCAUACAUCCUGCCUGCCAAUGAGAGCUUUGGGCCUUUGCAGAUCUCUCUGGGAAGAACAGUAAAAGACAUCUUUAAGUUUAUGGUGAUUUUCAUAACAGUUUUCGUGGCUUUCAUGGUGGGAAUGUUCAAUCUGUACUCAUACUACCUCGGAGCCAAGUACAACAAUGCAUUUACAACGCUUGAAGAGAGCUUUAAAACAUUAUUUUGGGCCAUCUUUGGCUUGUCUGAAGUGAAAUCAGUGGUCAUCAAUAUCGACCAUAAGUUCAUUGAGAAUACUGGCUAUGUGCUGUACGGGGUGUACAACAUCAUCAUGGUGAUUGUGUUGCUGAAUAUGCUCAUUGCCAUGUUCAACAGCUCCUUCCAAGAAAUUGAGGAUGAUGCUGAUGUUGAGUGGAAGUUUGCCAGAGCUAAGCUCUGGUUCUCCUACUUCGAGUAUGGUGGCACACUGCCUGUGCCCUUCAACCUUAUACCGAGCCCUAAGUCUGUCAUUUCCCUCCUGCUGGGCAUAAGGGAGUUUCUCUGGGCUGUACCUCAAGGCAAAAACAAAGAAAAUUCAAAUGAUGAGAUGGAGCUUAACAAGUUGAGGCAACAGGAAGAUCUGAGUGUGGAAGCAUCACUUUGUCCAACCCGCCACCAAAAGAUAAUGAAUCGCCUCAUCAAAAGAUAUAUCGUAAAAGCACAGAGAGAUAAAGACAGUGAUGAAGUGAAUGAAGGUGAACUGAAAGAGAUCAAACAAGACAUCUCCAGUCUCCGCUACGAGCUUCUGGAAAGGGAGAACCACGACAUGGAGACGCUGGCAGAGCUCAUCAGGCAACUGGGAGAAGUCAUGCAUGUUCGGCAGAAAGAAGAACAGAGGCACAAGCUGGCUACACAUUUGGAAAAAAUGUAAAUAUUACAGAUGUAUUUACUGGACACACUAUUCUCUUCCCAUUACUGGAAUAGGGCCCUUAGGUGCAGACUUAACAUACUGGAUAUUCUGUAUUUUAAACAUAAAAAUGUCCUGUUUUUUUCUCCCCCUUUGUGUAAACGUAUCCCUUUGGUUAACUCAUCCAAAUCUUUUUGUUCCUGUCUCUUUCCCUGUACAGUUAACCACAUGGUGGCACUAAUGGAACUUUUUUCUUGACGCAAAGGCCCUGUUACACUGAUAUGCACUACAGGCUGCUAAUGUAUGAUGUUUAUACAGCUUGAUUUAGGGGUGAUUUUCAAUCAUAAGCAGCAAAGAAGUUCAGAUAAAAAAAGAAGUAUAUAUUUGGAUGUGUCAGUGACAGGUACAUAAAUCAGACCUAACAUAAACAUAAAUGAUAGCCUGUUGGUAAUAACAGCCCCGUAGCUUUUUCUGAUUCUGAAGUUAAGAGAUAAUUUUUCCCCUGUAAUGUACC